CUAGGUCAAAAGAAAGUCCUUUGGUAAUGAUGUGUCAUACAUUCUAGUCAUCAAAGACACAAUUUUCUUGGCUUGAAGUGAUCUGCUGGUUUUUGGAGGAAUGAGAAUCCAAUCUCUCAUAAGCCGGAUUCAGAAAAUAGGUCAUCGAUGAAACAUCUGUAUGGAUUAUUUCACUAUAAUCCUAUGAUGCUUGGACUUGAAUCACUUCCAGAUCCCACGGACACCUGGGAAAUUAUAGAGACCAUUGGUAAAGGCACCUAUGGCAAGGUCUACAAGGUAACUAACAAGAGAGAUGGGAGCCUGGCUGCGGUGAAAAUUCUGGAUCCAAUCAGUGAUAUGGAUGAAGAAAUUGAGGCAGAAUACAACAUUUUGCAGUUCCUUCCUAAUCAUCCCAAUGUUGUAAAGUUUUAUGGGAUGUUUUACAAAGCGGAUCACUGUGUAGGGGGACAGCUGUGGCUGGUCCUGGAGCUGUGUAAUGGGGGCUCAGUCACCGAGCUUGUCAAAGGUCUACUCAGAUGUGGCCAGCAGUUGGAUGAAGCAAUGAUCUCAUACAUCUUGUAUGGGGCCCUCUUGGGCCUUCAGCAUUUGCACAGCAACCGAAUCAUCCACCGUGAUGUGAAGGGGAAUAACAUUCUUCUGACAACAGAAGGAGGAGUUAAGCUCGUUGACUUUGGUGUUUCAGCUCAACUCACUAGUACGCGUCUGCGGAGAAACACAUCUGUUGGCACCCCGUUCUGGAUGGCCCCUGAGGUCAUUGCCUGUGAGCAGCAGUAUGACUCUUCCUAUGACGCUCGCUGUGACGUCUGGUCCUUGGGUAUCACAGCUAUUGAACUGGGGGAUGGAGACCCUCCCCUCUUUGACAUGCAUCCUGUGAAAACACUCUUUAAGAUUCCAAGAAAUCCUCCACCGACUUUACUUCAUCCAGAAAAAUGGUGUGAAGAAUUCAACCACUUUAUUUCACAGUGUCUUAUUAAGGAUUUUGAAAGGCGACCUUCCGUCACACAUCUCCUUGACCACCCAUUUAUUAAAGGAGUACAUGGAAAGGUUUUGUUUCUGCAAAACCAACUGGCCAAGGUUCUCCAAGACCAGAAGCAUCUAAAUCCUGUUACCAAAACCAGGCAUGAGAGGAUGCAUACCAGAAGACCUUAUCAUGUGGAAGAUGCUGAAAAAUACUGCCUUGAGGAUGAUUUGGUCAAUCUAGAGGUUCUGGAUGAGGAUACAAUUAUCCAUCAGUUGCAGAAACGUUAUGCAGACUUGCUAAUUUACACAUAUGUUGGAGACAUCUUAAUUGCCUUAAACCCCUUCCAGAAUCUAAGCAUAUACUCUCCACAGUUUUCCAGACUUUAUCAUGGGGUGAAACGUGCCUCUAAUCCCCCCCACAUAUUUGCAUCAGCAGAUGCUGCUUACCAGUGCAUGGUUACUCUCAGCAAAGACCAGUGCAUUGUCAUCAGUGGAGAGAGUGGCUCUGGGAAGACAGAGAGUGCUCACCUGAUUGUUCAGCAUUUGACUUUCUUGGGAAAGGCCAAUAAUCAGACCCUGAGAGAGAAAAUUCUACAAGUCAACUCCCUAGUGGAAGCCUUUGGGAACGCAUGCACUGCCAUCAAUGACAACUCCAGCCGUUUUGGAAAAUAUCUGGAAAUGAUGUUCACACCAACUGGAGUUGUGAUGGGGGCAAGAAUCUCUGAAUAUCUCCUUGAAAAAUCCAGAGUGAUAAAACAGGCAGCGGGAGAGAAAAAUUUUCACAUAUUUUACUAUAUUUAUGCUGGUCUUCAUCACCAAAAGAAGCUUUCUGACUUCAGACUUCCUGAGGAAAAACCUCCUAGGUACAUAGCUGAUGAAACUGGAAGGGUGAUGCAUGACAUAACUUCCAAGGAGUCUUACAGAAGACAAUUCGAAGCAAUUCAGCAUUGCUUCAGGAUUAUAGGGUUCACGGACAAAGAGGUGCACUCAGUGUACAGAAUUUUGGCUGGGAUUUUGAAUAUUGGGAACAUUGAGUUUGCAGCUAUUUCCUCUCAACAUCAGACUGAUAAAAGUGAGGUGCCUGAUGCUGAAGCUUUGCAAAAUGCUGCCUCUGUUCUGUGCAUCAGCCCCGAAGAGCUCCAGGAGGCCCUCACCUCCCACUGUGUAGUCACCCGGGGCGAGACCAUCAUCCGUGCCAAUACCGUAGACAGGGCUGCGGACGUUCGAGACGCCAUGUCCAAAGCCCUGUAUGGGAGGCUCUUCAGCUGGAUUGUGAAUCGCAUUAAUACACUCCUGCAGCCAGACAAAAACAUAUGUAGUGCAGAAGAUGGGAUGAAUGUGGGGAUCUUGGAUAUCUUUGGAUUCGAGAAUUUUCAGAGAAAUUCAUUUGAGCAGCUCUGCAUAAACAUCGCCAAUGAGCAAAUCCAGUACUAUUUCAAUCAGCACGUUUUUGCUCUUGAGCAGAUGGAAUAUCAGAAUGAAGGCAUUGAUGCUAUACCUGUGGAAUAUGAGGACAACCGCCCGCUCUUGGACAUGUUUCUCCAGAAACCCCUGGGACUACUUGCACUUUUGGAUGAGGAAAGUCGGUUUCCCCAAGCAACUGACCAGACCCUGGUUGAUAAAUUUGAAGAUAAUCUACGGUGCAAAUACUUCUGGAGGCCCAAAGGAGUGGAGCUGUGCUUUGGCAUUCAGCAUUAUGCUGGAAAGGUAUUAUAUGAUGCUUCUGGGGUUCUUGAGAAGAAUAGAGACACUCUCCCUGCUGAUGUGGUUGUGGUCCUGAGGACGUCAGAAAACAAGCUUCUUCAGCAGCUCUUCUCAAUCCCUCUGACCAAAACAGGUAAUUUGGCCCAGACAAGAGCUAGGAUAACAGUGGCCUCAAGAUCUUUGCCUCCACAUUUCAGUGCUGGGAAAGCCAAGGUGGACACUCUGGAGGUGAUACGGCAUCCGGAAGAAACCACCAACAUGAAGAGGCAAACCGUGGCUUCUUACUUCCGGUAUUCUCUGAUGGACCUGCUCUCCAAAAUGGUGGUUGGACAGCCCCACUUUGUGCGCUGCAUUAAACCCAAUGAUGACCGAGAGGCCCUGCAGUUCUCUCGAGAGAGGGUGCUGGCCCAGCUCCGCUCCACAGGGAUUCUGGAGACAGUCAGCAUCCGCCGCCAGGGCUAUUCCCACCGCAUCCUCUUUGAAGAAUUUGUGAAAAGGUAUUAUUACUUGGCAUUCAGAGCACAUCAAACACCUCUUGCUAGCAAAGAGAGCUGUGUGGCUAUCUUGGAAAAGUCCAGAUUAGAUCACUGGGUGCUGGGAAAAACAAAGGUUUUUCUCAAAUAUUACCAUGUUGAGCAAUUAAAUUUGCUACUUCGAGAAGUCAUAGGCAGAGUGGUUGUGCUACAGGCAUAUACCAAGGGGUGGCUUGGAGCCAGGAGAUACAAAAGAGUCAGAGAGAAGAGAGAGAAGGGAGCCAUUGCCAUCCAGUCAGCCUGGAGAGGAUAUGAUGCUCGGAGGAAAUUUAAGAAAAUAAGCAACAGAAGGAGUGAGUCUGCUGCUCAUAAUCAAGCAGGGGACGCUUCAAACCAAAGCAGUGGGACACAUUCCCCCGUCGCAGCGGGUACCAGGGGAAGUGCCAAGGUUCAAGACUGCAGCGAGCCUGGUGACCAUAAAGUUUUCAGGGGCUCUGUAGAUCAUAGAAGCCAUUCACAAGCAGAAUCCAACAAUGGUCACGCACAGACUUCAAGCAACUCUCGUGCUGUCACAGAGAAAAAUGGACAGAGUCUCGCUCUGUCGCCCAGGCUGGAGUGCAGUGGCCGGAUCUCGGCUCACUGCAAGCUCCGCCUCCUGGGUUUACACCAUUCUCCUGCCUUAGCCUCCCAAGUAGCUGGGACUACAGGCAUUCACAAGCCCGGAGUUCUCCAAAAGGGUGCGAUAUCUUCACAGGACAGGCAAACAAGCACUCGAUUUCUGGGACUGAUUUGCUGUCUUCUCGGAUAUGCCAUCCUGCUCCAGAUCACCAAGGACUGAGUCUCUGGGGAGCCCCUCAAAAACCUGGUUCAGAAAAUGGUCUCGCACAGAAGCAACGAACACCUCGCCGACGAUGUCAGCAGCCCAAAAUGCUGAGUAGCCCUGAGGACACUAUGUACUAUAACCAGUUAAAUGGAACUCUAGAAUAUCAAGGGAGCAAGAGGAAGCCAAGAAAACUUGGCCAAAUCAAAGUACUUGAUGGGGAAGAUGAAUAUUACAAAUCUCUGUCACCAGUGGACUGCAUCCCUGAGGAGAACAACUCAGCCCACCCUUCCUUUUUUUCUUCAUCCUCAAAAGGAGACUCUUUCACUCAACAUUGAAUUGUACUUCCUAACCCCAAAUCUGUCCAGAGUAGUAACAUUCAUGGUAAUCGACUGUCUUUGCAUUAGUAAGCACUGACAUGGGGUCAGCUUCUUUGGCCAUGUGGUCCAUGCCUGCGCCUUACUGAACAACUUGCAGAUUCCAAAACAUCUUAUCCUAUCUCUACCACUCUCCCACAUCUGUUGUGCAGCCUGAGCUGGGCGCUCCCUUCCUUUCCCAUCCCAUGAGUCCCUGUGGGUCACUGAGAACACCUUUACAACAGUAUAAACAGCCAUUCAUGCCCCCAGUGUCUAGGAAGAUAACAGACAGUCUCACCACAGUCUAAUCAUGGACACUGAUAAUAUUUCUUGAUUUUUGCUAUCAAGUUGCUUUUCAAUCCAUUCAGAAUCUGCCCCAGUGGAGACCCAGGAGUCCCUUUCCUGCACUCUUCUCCACCCUCCCACCUUUGCUGGGCUUUUCUAUCACUCCCACCUCCCCCAGAGUCAGGGCUCCAUUGCUGAGUGCCCCAUCCUGGAGGAUUGGCCCCAAGAUCUCCUAGGACAGAAUAAUUGCCUGUGUUUAGGCAGAGAGGCCUAAAUCUUUCAGCUUUCUUAACCCCUCUCUUGUUAAUUAUUAUGCUGAGAAAGCCUUUGCCUCUUUAUUUCACCUUGCCAAGACACCCACACUACUUUGGUAGUGAAAAGAAAGGAGUGAGAGGGAAAGUUUGGACCUGUCACUUUGGUGACACGGAAAGUCCAGGUCACUUUAUUCUGUAACUCUCCAUUCACUGGUCAAAUAACUCCAUGAGGCUCUCAGUGGCUACAGUAGAAGGACCUGAUAUUGUCCAUCUUUGUGUGCACAGAGCCUAGCACAGGGCCUCGCAGAGGGGAUACCUAGUGAAUGUAGACUAUGUGGAAAGACUUAACUAAGUUACACAAGCAUAUCUGACAGGAACGUUACUUUCAAUUUGUACACUAUAAUCUCUGAUUUUUCACUACGUUUUGGAUAAUUCUAUUGUAAUGAUGUUAGAUAAUAUAAUACUCAAUAUGAUUCAAUAUGACAAACUUUUUUGAGCACCUGCUUUAUAUAAAACAUGACAAAAUUGCUGUGUGAUGUAAUCAAAAACAAAGAAGCCCGAUAAGACCCUUUCUCUAGAACAGAUGUUCUUAAUAUUUUUCUUACUCAAAAAUAUGUGGUAGAUAGUAUGCAAGAAAAGCUGGGUGCAGUGGCUCAGGCCUGUAAUCCCAGCACUUUGGGAGGCCAAGAUGGGCAGAUGGGAGUUCGAGACCAGCCUGACCAACACGGUGAAACCCCAUCUCUACUGAAAAAAAAAAAAAAAAUACAAAAAUUAGCCCAGCAUGGUGGCGUGUGCCUGUAAUCCCAGCUACUCAGGAGGCUGAGGCAGGAGAAUAGUUUGAACCCAGGAGGCGGAGGUUGUAGUCAGCUGAGAGCAUGCCACUGCAUUCCAGCCUGGGCAACAGGGCAAGACUCUGUCUCAAAAAAAAAAAAAAAAAAAAAAAAAACAGAUAGUAUGUAAGAAAAUACCUAAAUUUUGAGAGAAAUAACCUUGAAGAAAAUCUCUUCAGAGUUUUGAAAGGGAACACAUUAAUAGGCCUUUUAUGGAGAUAAAUAAUGAAAUGAGGCAUUUAAAGAUCUCAGAAAUUGUAAUUUUACAAGAAAAUGAAAUAAAUAUAGCCAAUUUUUCAAUAGCUGAACUUCACCCAAAAGGUAAUGUUUAUAAGAUAAGUAAGUAGAGCAGGAAAAAUGCGGAUACAUUUUAUUUUAUUGUUUAAAACAUAAUGCAUAGAAUAUAUAAAUUUUUCAUGUUACUAUUAAUAUAUGAGUGCUUUUGGAAGUUUCAGUUUUAUCAUUGAUUGUCUACUUUUGGUUUGAUAAUAUUACUGCUUUUCAAAUUGUUGAAUGGAAAUGUUCAUAACUCCCUGCUUGUCCAUGCACAAUGUAAUUCUAAACCUGGCUUGUUUCUCAUUUAAAUAUAUCUAUAAAUAAAUUUAAAAAGAAAACA